rnacentral:tRNA from 1 species
CUUCUCUUGGUUUAAAAGGUAAAGUUUAACAUUCAUGAUAUUAAAAUAUAGGUUCAAUUCCUUUAGAGAUUU